CCUACGGGUGGCAGCAGUGAGGAAUAUUGGUCAAUGGACGAGAGUCUGAACCAGCCAAGUAGCGUGAAGGAUGACUGCCCUAUGGGUUGUAAACUUCUUUUAUAUGGGAAUAAAAUGUUCCACGUGUGGGAUUUUGUAUGUACCAUAUGAAUAAGGAUCGGCUAACUCCGUGCCAGCAGCCGCGGUAAUACGGAGAAUCCGAGCGUUAUCCGGAUUUAUUGGGUUUAAAGGGAGCGUAGGUGGAUGGUUAAGUCAGUUGUGAAAGUUUGCGGCUCAACCGUAAAAGUGCAGUUGAAACUGGCAGUCUUGAGUACAGUAGAGGUGAGCGGAAUUCGUGGUGUAGCGGUGAAAUGCUUAGAUAUCACGAAGAACUCCGAUUGCGAAGGCAGUUCACUGGACUGCAACUGACACUGAGGCUCGAAAGUGUGGGUAUCAAACAGGAUUAGAUACCCCAGUAGUC
rnacentral:rRNA from 1 species